CUACCUUAAGGCAAGGUUUAAAACCCUUGACUACGGUAUAGUCAGCGACUGGGGUGAAGUCGUAACAAGGUAGCCGUAGGGGAACCUGCGGCUGGAUUACCUCCUUUCUAAGGAUGAUUAAGGAUUAUUUCUUAAUCUAAAUAAUAUAACAGGUUAAUGUUGACCGUCCUCAUUUCUCUUCUUGAAAUAGUGUUUCUCGCUUCUGCAUAGGGGCCGGUAGCUCAGUUGGUUAGAGCACACCCUUGAUAAGGGUGGGGUCGAAAGUUCGAGUCUUUCUCGGCCCACCAAAAAAUACUGGGGGAUUAGCUCAGCUGGGAGAGCGCCUGAUUUGCAUUCAGGAGGUCAGCGGUUCGAUCCCGCUAUCCUCCACCAAGAAACAUUUAGUUAUUUUAUUUGUGAAAAUUAUUUUUAUAUUAUCAAUAUCUAUAUCCGAUUGUUCGAAUAGAUGAACAAUCAAUGAAUGUUCGAAUAGAUGAACAUUCCAAAAAAAUUUGAUUCAACACAGAAUUUUUUUCUGUGCAUAAAUCAAGCGUUUAAGGGCGUGUGGCGGAUGCCUUGGCACUGAAAGCCGAUGAAGGACGUGGUAUACUGCGAUAAGUUACGGGGAGCUGUAUGCAAGUUUUGAUCCGUAAAUUU
rnacentral:misc_RNA from 1 species